rnacentral:sRNA from 1 species
GCCAUAAUGGAGACCUAUACUUCUCCAACGUGAUGCUGCAGGACAUGCAGACCGACUACAGUUGCAACGCCCGCUUCCAUUUCACCCACACCAUCCAGCAGAAGAACCCUUUCACCCUCAAGGUCCUCACCACCCGAGGAGUUGCAGAAAGAACACCAAGCUUCAUGUAUCCCCAGGGCACCGCGAGCAGCCAGAUGGUGCUUCGUGGCAUGGACCUCCUGCUGGAAUGCAUCGCCUCCGGGGUCCCAACACCAGACAUCGCAUGGUACAAGAAAGGUGGGGACCUCCCAUCUGAUAAGGCCAAGUUUGAGAACUUUAAUAAGGCCCUGCGUAUCACCAAUGUCUCUGAGGAAGACUCUGGGGAGUAUUUCUGCCUGGCCUCCAACAAGAUGGGCAGCAUCCGGCACACGAUCUCGGUGAGAGUAAAGGCUGCUCCCUACUGGCUGGACGAACCCAAGAACCUUAUCCUGGCUCCUGGCGAGGAUGGUAGACUGGUGUGUCGAGCCAAUGGAAACCCCAAACCCACUGUCCAGUGGAUGGUGAAUGGGGAACCUUUGCAAUCGGCACCACCUAACCCAAACCGUGAGGUGGCUGGAGACACCAUCAUCUUCCGGGACACCCAGAUCAGCAGCAGGGCCGUGUACCAGUGCAACACCUCCAACGAGCAUGGCUACCUGCUGGCCAACGCCUUCGUCAGUGUGCUGGAUGUGCCGCCUCGGAUGCUGUCGCCCCGGAACCAGCUCAUUCGAGUGAUUCUUUACAACCGGACGCGACUGGACUGUCCUUUCUUUGGGUCUCCCAUCCCCACACUGCGAUGGUUUAAGAAUGGGCAAGGAAGCAACCUGGAUGGUGGCAACUACCAUGUUUAUGAGAAUGGCAGUCUGGAAAUUAAGAUGAUCCGCAAAGAGGACCAAGGCAUCUACACCUGUGUCGCCACCAACAUCCUGGGCAAAGCUGAAAACCAAGUCCGCCUGGAGGUCAAAGACCCCACCAGGAUCUACCGGAUGCCUGAAGACCAGGUGGCCAAAAGGGGCACCACGGUGCAGCUGGAGUGUCGGGUGAAGCACGACCCCUCCCUGAAACUCACCGUCUCCUGGCUGAAGGAUGACGAGCCGCUCUAUAUUGGAAACAGGAUGAAGAAGGAAGAUGACUCCCUGACCAUCUUUGGUGUGGCAGAGCGGGACCAGGGCAGUUACACGUGUGUUGCCAGCACCGAGCUAGAUCAAGACCUGGCCAAGGCCUACCUCACCGUGCUAGGACGGCCAGACCGGCCCCGGGACCUGGAGCUGACCGACCUGGCCGAGAGGAGCGUGCGGCUGACCUGGAUCCCUGGGGAUGCUAACAACAGCCCCAUCACAGACUACGUCGUCCAGUUUGAAGAAGACCAGUUCCAACCUGGGGUCUGGCAUGACCAUUCCAAGUACCCCGGCAGCGUUAACUCAGCCGUCCUCCGGCUGUCCCCGUAUGUCAACUACCAGUUCCGUGUCAUUGCCAUCAACGAGGUUGGGAGCAGCCACCCCAGCCUCCCGUCCGAGCGCUACCGAACCAGUGGAGCACCCCCCGAGUCCAAUCCUGGUGACGUGAAGGGAGAGGGGACCAGAAAGAACAACAUGGAGAUCACGUGGACGCCCAUGAAUGCCACCUCGGCCUUUGGCCCCAACCUGCGCUACAUUGUCAAGUGGAGGCGGAGAGAGACUCGAGAGGCCUGGAACAACGUCACGGUGUGGGGCUCUCGCUACGUGGUGGGGCAGACCCCGGUCUACGUGCCCUAUGAGAUCCGAGUCCAGGCUGAAAAUGACUUCGGGAAGGGCCCUGAGCCAGAGUCCGUCAUCGGUUACUCCGGAGAAGAUUAUCCCAGGGCUGCGCCCACUGAAGUUAAAGUCCGAGUCAUGAACAGCACAGCCAUCAGCCUUCAGUGGAACCGCGUCUACUCCGACACGGUCCAGGGCCAGCUCAGAGAGUACCGAGCCUACUACUGGAGGGAGAGCAGCUUGCUGAAGAACCUGUGGGUGUCUCAGAAGAGACAGCAAGCCAGCUUCCCUGGUGACCGCCUCCGUGGCGUGGUGUCCCGCCUCUUCCCCUACAGUAACUACAAGCUGGAGAUGGUUGUGGUCAAUGGGAGAGGUGAUGGGCCUCGCAGUGAGACCAAGGAGUUCACCACCCCGGAAGGAGUACCCAGUGCCCCCAGGCGUUUCCGCGUCCGGCAGCCCAACCUGGAGACAAUCAACCUGGAGUGGGAUCAUCCGGAGCAUCCAAAUGGGAUCAUGAUUGGAUACACUCUCAAAUACGUGGCCUUUAACGGGACCAAAGUAGGAAAGCAGAUAGUGGAAAACUUCUCUCCCAAUCAGACCAAGUUCACGGUGCAAAGAACGGACCCUGUGUCACGCUACCGCUUUACCCUUAGCGCCAGGACACAGGUGGGCUCUGGGGAAGCCGUCACAGAGGAGUCACCAGCACCCCCGAAUGAAGGUAGGUGCAUGGCGGCAGCCCCUGGGGUAAAAGGUCCCAGCUAAUUCAGAGGCCUAGAGAAACACUGAGAUCUGUAGCUGGCUGCCUGGGAUGGAGAGGAAAUGAGACUUGCAAGUCCUCAAGCCCUCGGUAGGUGAGAACCCAUCUUACAUGUGAGAGGUAGGUGCUGGCAUUGUAUCUGGAGCUCAGCUCUCCUUGGACCACUGUGGUCACACCUGGGUCCCCACUUGCCCUGACUUGCUCAGUCACUUGACAUCUGUCAUCUUUCCUUCUUGUAGAGGAAUAAGGAAGAGAUCAUGAGUUGAGAAAUGAGAGAAAUCAUAAUGAAUCCAAAGAACAGUGAGUGUUCACCUCUUGAGGGAGGCAGGAAUAUGAUUGUGAGUGCCCCCAUGAGUGCUCUGGGGACAACCUUCUUUCUUCGAAGGCACAUGGGUUCAAGGAGGUAGGGGAAACCGUCAUGAUGACGCUGCUUACUGGCAUCAUGAGUAAAGCAGAGAAUGUGGUCCUUCCUUGCAGCCUGAAUUGGAUGUGUUGUCAGGCUGCAGAGAGGAGGAGGAGUUAGGAAACAGCCAUUUGCCAAGCCAGCUUCACAAAGAGCAAAUGAGUUCAUCUCCUGGGUCCAGGAGUCAUCUGGCAGCAUUUCAACCCCACCAGAGCUGCACCUGCCUGAGGACUCCACUAGAGGGGGCUCCAGGCUCUCCGGCACACACGCUGGCGGUGGGGGAAUGUGCAGUCUGGGACCUCUCAAGGAGGCAAGGCUGCAAAAGCCUCAAUACUGGCACACCCCCUGGGAAAGGCUGGGGACCCCCGUGUGUCUCCAGAGAGACAACGGUCUAUUCAACAGCCAUUUCUUUAGUACCCACACUGUGAGGUGCCAGACAUUGCCACACACAAGGGAUAUACAAAGGUAAUAAGCAGCUCACACCAUCUAGAGGGGGAGCCAUCUAUAAGAAUAUCUAAUUGCAUGUCUAAAUGAGGGCGCGCAGUGGCUGGGCAGAGGAGGGAAUUCAGUCUUCAUGGGAAGACUCCAGAGAAGAGGUGAUGUGAGUGGGCACCCUGGAAGCUGACAAGUCAUCGUGUCUGGUGCUUUCCACAGAAGGGUCAGGUCCCGCGGCCUGGCCCAGGCCCAGAUGGGGUCUCCUGAAUACCACCCCUACUCGCAUUCCAGGAGAGCAUCAGUGCUGCCUUCUCUGGGGCUACCAGGCCUGCUGCGUCACCCUGGGAUCCCAGGCAGCUUCACAAGUUGCCCAUAUCCUUCCCCAGCCCACCACUCUAGCCAGCAGACCAGUGCUGAGGCGGGAGAAGAGGGGCCAGGCAGAAGCAGAGAAAGGCUGACAGCCCACUCGGCAUCCCUCUCUGGUAUCAGAAACCAGGAGUGAGUCACACAACCAGCUCUCCCUCCUGCUGUGCUCUUCUGCACUCUCCCAAGCCCCUGCGCACUCGGGAAGUUUAUUAGGGCAGGGGGACUUAGGUUAGUGACUGAUAUGUGUCUGUUACCAAAGGCCAGGCCAGACCAUGAUGCACUUUCUUGAUUACUCAAUUCUGCAAGUAGAUAGAUAAAGAGAGCCCCUUCUUCCCUCCCUAUGUGCACCCCAAUACAGAACAUCAGAUAAACAAAGCCCUAUUGUCCAGCCCCAGUAACCACCACAGAGAAUGUUCUGCAGCCUCAGGGGACAAGAGGACAAAUAGAGGCUUUUUUCUUAACUUAAGGCUUUGCAGAAAAUUCAAGAAUUUCACUUAGGGCUCUCAAUCC